UACAGAGGGUGCGAGCGUUAAUCGGAAUUACUGGGCGUAAAGCGUGCGUAGACGGUUAUUUAAGUCGGAUGUGAAAGCCCCGGGCUCAACCUGGGAAUUGCAUUCGAGACUGAAUAGCUAGGGUACGGUAGAGGGAAGCGGAAUUUCCGGUGUAGCGGUGAAAUGCGCAGAUAUCAGGAGGAACACCGGUGGCGAAGGCGGUUCUCUGGGCCUUACCUGACGCUGAGGAGCGAAAGCGUGGGGAGCAAACAGG
rnacentral:rRNA from 1 species